UACGUAGGGUGCUAGCGUUAAUCGGAAUUACUGGGCGUAAAGCGCACGCAGGCGGUCUAUUAAGUCAGAUGUGAAAGCCCCGAGCUUAACUUCGGAAUUGCAUCUGAAACUGGUUAGCUAGAGUCUUGUAGAGGGGAGUAGAAUUCCAUGUGUAGCGGUGAAAUGCGUAGAUAUAUGGAGGAACACCAGUGGCGAAGGCGGCUCUCUGGUCUGUAACUGACACUGAGGCACGAAAGCGUGGGGAGCAAACAGG
rnacentral:rRNA from 1 species